GUGGGAGGGGCAACUCGACAAUGAAAUACCACUGCCUUUUACUGUUAUUUCACUCACCGUAUGAAAGAGCAAAGUGCAAGUUUACUUCGGUAUUCUUGUACUAUUCUAGACGAAGCCAUUUUCCUACGGGUUUAUGGUAAGCUCCUGUAUCAAUAUGGAACAGAUUCAGGUAGGGAGUUUGGCUGGGGCGGCACAACUGUUAAAAGAUAACGCAGGUGUACAAAGGCUAGCACAGAAAGGUCAGAAACCUUUCGUAGCGGACAAGGCCAAUAGCUUAGCUUGACAAAUAUUUU
rnacentral:rRNA from 1 species